rnacentral:rRNA from 1 species
UACGUAGGCAGCGAGCGUUGUCCGGAAUUAUUGGGCGUAAAGAGCUCGUAGGCGGCCUGUUGCGUCCGCUGUGAAAUCCCGGGGCUCAACCCCGGGCCUGCAGUGGAUACGGGCUGGCUAGAGGCAGGCAGGGGAGAACGGAAUUCCUGGUGUAGCGGUGAAAUGCGCAGAUAUCGGGAGGAACACCGGUGGCGAAGGCGGUUCUCUGGGCCUGUACUGACGCUGAGGAGCGAAAGCGUGGGGAGCGAACAGG